rnacentral:lncRNA from 10 species
GGCUCACCAAGGGCUGCCAGUUCGCAGAAGUCCCUCACCUUUGUUCCACACCUGCUGACUUUCUAAACUGCUGUCCUCUGGACUGUGCUAGGUACACAUGACAGCACCUUGGCAGCCAUGUCUUUCAGAGCCCCGUUAUGCAAUGCCAUGGCCCUAGAAGCAGAAGGAACCAUCAAAGAACCAGGCUAAAGGACUUUGGGACCAACAGGCAUUCAGGAAUGCACCUGGCCAGGAGCUAAGGGGCCACCAGCUGACAAGAGUUGCCACCAGACACGCCAGGUAGAAGAUGUCAGCUGGCAAUGGCCAUGCCAGCCUAAGCUACCUCUGUGGAGUGAACAAUGUAGCCCAGAAGAGCCAGCACAGAUCCCUCCCACCUAUCAGCCCUGUCUUCCCCCAUCUUGAUGCAUGUCCCAGGCCAGGUUCCAUGGAGGAGCAGAACUUCAUCCUGCUCUGCAUUUAGGGCCUGCCUCGGAGACAGUAGGGGAGCUCCCAAGAACUCACAAGUUUGGAAAUUAAUAUUUCUCUUUGCAAGAUAAAAUACAGAUCAGCCCAAAGUACAUCAGACCUGAGGUCCAAUUCCAAACAGAAAGUCGGCCCUGAUAAUCCCUGGGUUAAAGGCCCAAGUGUUUGAAACUGAAUUGCACGCUCGACUAGGGAGCCCUUUCUAAGCUGGUACAACACACAGAGGCCAACAGUAAAGAAUAAUAAAUCUGGCUAUACAUUUUGUAUAGUGUGCACAUGUGCAC